AUUGAACGCUGGCGGCAGGCUUAACACAUGCAAGUCGAGCGGAGCGAGGGUGCUUGCACCUUAGCUUAGCGGCGGACGGGUGAGUAAUGCUUAGGAAUCUGCCUAUUAGUGGGGGACAACAUUCCGAAAGGAAUGCUAAUACCGCAUACGCCCUACGGGGGAAAGCAGGGGAUCUUCGGACCUUGCGCUAAUAGAUGAGCCUAAGUCGGAUUAGCUAGUUGGUGGGGUAAAGGCCUACCAAGGCGACGAUCUGUAGCGGGUCUGAGAGGAUGAUCCGCCACACUGGGACAGAGACACGGCCCAGACUCCUACGGGGGGCAGCAGUGGGGAAUAUUGGACAAUGGGCGGAAGCCUGAUCCAGUCAUGCCGCGUGUGUGAAGAAGGCCUUUUGGUUGUAAGUCACUUUAAGCGAGGAGGAGGCUACUUAGAUUAAUACUCUGGGAUAGUGGACGUUACUCGCAGAAUAAGCACCGGCUAACUCUGUGCCAGCAGCCGCCGCAGU
rnacentral:rRNA from 1 species